GACACCGUAGCAAAGUGGUUAAUGCGACAGAUUUGAAUCGUUCUGGGGGUUCGAACCAGAAACCUCAUCUGUUCCUCUUCGAGGGCGUAGGUUCGAACCCUGCCGGUGUCG